UACACACUGACAACAUUUUGGGAAACAUGUUGGCCAACAUGUUGUCCAGGUGCGAUGUUAUCGAAAAUGUUGGCAGUGUGUACAGUUCGGAAACAUUCGGAAACAUUCGGUAACAUGUUGGCCAAAUGUUGCUCAAAUGUUGUCGAAAUAAUACAAAAUCAAUUUUGUUGCCGAGAUGCUAAUGAUGUUGUCGAGUUUUAUCCAAUCAGAAAUAGGCCACAAAUCACAUGAUCUACCUUAAGCCAUGUGAUGUAGUCAAAAUGGCAGCCUCAAGCAAGGAAUGGUUACUGAGUGAAGUUGAACAACUUAUGCAGUAUGGGAAAGUUGUGCCUGUUUAUGGGAUGUAACAUCCAAGGAAUAUAAAGACAAGAACAAAAAGAAAGCUGCUAUUUUAGAAAUAGCUACAAAAUUUGAAACAACAGUUGAUGAAGUAAACAAAAAGAUGAAAUCACUUCAGGCCCAGCACAACCGAGAAAAAAAUAAGAAAAUGGCAUCAAUGAGCAGUGGAGCCGACACUGACGAGGUAACCAAAGUCAACUGGGUGCACUAUGACCAAAUGUAUUUUUUAGAGGAAAUUGCUGGAAAGCGAUCAGUAACAAGGUCGAAUCUGACAAGUCAGUCACAGGCUUAUGAGGCAGAGGAAGCUGAGGUAGUGGACGAUCUUGCUGAUGGAUCUGUAGAGGGGAAUGAUGAAGAUGAUGAUGAAGAGCUGCCAGAAAUUCGACGUUCCACAAAGAAACCUGUGAAAGAGAAAAGAAUGAGUAAGAAGCGACGACUAGAAGAAAGUGAAAAUAACCUCCUUCACAGAGCCACGAAGGCUGUAGAAAGAGCUACCAUACCUGAGAUCCAGGUGGAAAAGACACAAUGUGCCGAUGACAUCUUUGGACAAUAUGUAUCUUCAGAAUUAAAAACCAUUUCUGAUGCAAGAUUGAAAAAAUUUGUGAAACACAAAAUUCAAACAGUAAUUUUUGAGUGUACCAUGCCCAUGCAAAGGCCGCAAAUGCUGCUCUCACAUCCUCCUGCUAGAAGCAUGGCUCAAAGUGUCCCAUCAAUAAGACCAUUUGAGCCACCUGGCAGGAGGACGGAGAUGUUUCGUACUCCCUCUCCUUUUCAAGGAGGCCAAUUCCCCUCUCCGUCUCCUUCUCCUUUUUCUGCCUCUCCAUCACCCUCGUUAUCUGACUCACAAAUGACCUAUAUGUCGCUGUAAAUCUCAGAGAGGUGAGCUUUUGCUUUGGCGAGGCGUCCGUCGUUGCCGCCAUCCGUUCGACCUAUUGAGUUGAAUGUUGUUGUACACAUGUACCCUUAUAUAAGUUUUGGUCCAAUUCUCAGUUUUAAGAAAUCUAAAAAGUGUUAAUCUCGAUUACAAACGUAGAAUGCCAAACAUGG